UGUUUGGACAUUGUAUGAACAAUGUACAUAAUUAUCACAUCCGUACAAUAUUGUGCGAACGUGAUAAUUAUGUAUAUUGUAAUAACGUGAUAUUAUAUUAUACAAACAUGCAAAGCAUAAUGUUAGAACAAUAAACAUUUCACCUUAUAACGUGAUAUAGCUCUAUUUUGCUUUUGCCUGGGUGGCAGCUCCACGUUUCCAUAAUUUGGUAAUCAAAAUAUGUAACUUAAUUAAUUAUGUUGUGACGUACUUUUGCCUUUUCUUAUUAUUCUGCCUUCUCAGAAAGGGAAAAAAAUACAAAUAAUAUUGUUUACACUUGUUAUAUACAAUAACUAUCAAAACCUAUUCACAUUUAAUUUGGCUUUCACAGAAAUCCCACCUCUCCUUCUGGCUACAGAGCACUUACUUACCAAGCCCAUGAAAUCGAAUGCAGAUCUUCCUGAUGUGAGAUUUACAUAAAUAUGUCAAAGUCUCAACCUCAUGCUGCCCUCCCCCAUCCUCCUAAACCUGUGGAUACAAAUGCAGAUUUCCUUAAUGUUCAAUGGUGCGUGUUCUUCUAAUGGCCGCCUUCCCACUGGAGGUUUUGAUCCACAGCAAUUUAAAAGGUAAACAGCUUUGAAAGUCAGUUCAAAUGGUUAGCUAAUAGUAUUCUAAAAAGCCUACUUCUCUGUCACCAGUUUCUUUACCAAAAAGUACCCAUAAAAGUAUCUCUCAAUAGCAUAUCAUUGUAGUUCAAAUGUUUAGUUGUACAAAUAUCAGAUUUUUGGAAAUCUAAAACUAGUCAAACACUCAAAUGUUUAUGCCUUUUAUAGGAGGACAGAGCAAAACGGACAUCGGCACAGAGUGAAGAACUGCCCUUCACAAGGACACUAUGACAGCCAUAUAUAGUAAGUGAAGACUUUCUGUGUAUCUAAAAUUGCAUACAGCACAAGUAACUUACUGUUAGCGCCAUUUAUAGUUAUUACAUGUUUUAUUUUGAAAAGCCUGAAAAAGAUGUGGUGCUUUUGUUGUGAAAGGUUUUGUGAGAAAUAAAACAAGCGAAUGGCGGAGCGACACGAUGGUUUUACUUAAUGUAAUGGCUAUGUUGUUUCUUCUUGGAGUUCUCUAUUUUUCUUAUAUCUAAAAUAAGAGUCUGGAUGGACAAGAGGCUGUUUUACGCGUCGUUGUUGUACAAACCGACGCGUAAAACAGCCUCUUGUCCAUCCAGACUCUUAUUUUAGAUAUAAGAAAAAUAGAGAACUCCAAGAAGAAACAA
rnacentral:lncRNA from 1 species